AAAAAAAAGGAAGCGCCGGUUUACCAGAAGUCCAGAACUGACUAUUGGUUUUACUUUACCUUCCAAAUUUCUAAAAGCCCUAAUCCUGUCUUUCCGUUGGACUGUUUGGUCUCCUGUAAAGGCGUUCAAUGUCUUCGAACUCAUCAUCCUCCGAUUAUCUUCAGAAGCAGGUGAGAAGUCACGAGGUUGCUGUGGCGGAGCUCAAUGGCCUUUCUUCCUCUCGGGUUGUCUAUCAAAGAAAUGGAAACAUAUUUUUCCGAACAACCAUUCAGAAAGCAACUGCAUUUGAACAAAAACAAUUGGAUGCAGCAAAAGCUAGGCUCCAAAAGCUGAGUUGAUCAAAUCCAGCCUUGACUUUGUGGUGCAGCGUUCAGACUAAGAGAGGCCGACUUACAACUGAAAUCCGACAGGACUAAUGCUAUGCAUCCCUAUGUAGUCUUGAUAACAUUUCAGUACCCGAGUUGUAGGUUACAGUGUGGUGGAGUACUUCGUAUUUUCUUUAUUCGAUCAUCAGUGGGUAAAACAUCUAAAUCUAAUAGCAGUUGUUAGAAAAUAGGAAAGAUGAUCACUUUUGCAGAUCACUGGGAAUAUGUCUCAAUCAAUUAUCAGUGUGUGGUUACUUUGUAGUUUGUAAGUUUGCAAAUAAUAAUUCACUUUCUAAUGCAUCAGUUUCGUGAAUCA